AUUCAGCCGAUGAGUCCCAAAUAGGACGAAACGCGCUUUCUGGAU
rnacentral:hammerhead_ribozyme from 1 species